GGCUAAGGGGGGGUCCCAGGAUGGAAGAGGCGUGGCUUGGGGGUCACAGGAUGGAGGAGGUGGGGCUUGGGGGGUCACAGGAUGGAGGAGGCGGGGCUUGGUGGGUUCCAGGAUGGAGGAGGCAGGGCUUGGGGGGGGGGUCACAGGAUUUAGGAGGUGGGGCUUGGGGGGUCACAGGAUGGAGGAAGCUGGGCUUGGGGUGGGUCACAGGAUGGAGGAGGCGGGGCUUGGGGGUCACAGGAUGGAGAAGGUGGGGCUUGGGGGGGUCACAGGAUUUAGGAGGCGGGGCUUGGGGGGUCACAGG